ensembl:lncRNA
AUGAGGUCAACUAAAACUUCAGUGACCCCUCUCAACACGGAAGAGCCAACAGCUUUCUGCACGAAGGCUGAGCACGGAAUAAGCCUUAGCUCUGCCACCGUGGAGACCAGACAGACGUCAAGUUACACUGCCACUAGCCCCUGGCUGGAGAACUUUGUCCUGUGCUCCUGUGCCUCGCUUCCCUUCCAAACAGAACAUCUGGACGCAAGGCAGCCAACUCCCAGUGCAGAAGGCGUCUCCGGCACGAGCAGCCAGUGCCCCCCGUGGAGCCCUGGCACAGCAGUUCCCCUCAGGCUGUGCUUGGCAAAUCCCAGUGCCCACCAGUUUCCACAUCCCAUCUGGAGGAAAUCCAGGCCUUGGGACACAGCCAGGUGCUGGAGAAUCCACUAAGCGAUCCCAUGACCAGUGACACAUUCUGGGCAGCAUGGCUACUCUUUGAAUUCUCGGUCGGUGGUCGACUGUAACUUGCAUAGCAAGACUUUGUAUGAUGGUCUGCAGUUCUGCAGUGAUUGCCCCUUUCUCGCCAAAAGAGGCAGUCAGAUAACACAGUGUAGUUAACUGGGAAAGGAGACCUUUUCUAAUUGUUACCAAGUUCAUUUUGGCUACAGUUUUAUCAAGAGUUUCAAAAGUAACAAACAAAAGCAAUGCUCCCUGAGGUUCUUGCAUAUCACAGACUUUAACUGGGACAAUUUGAAGCUGCGUAGCCCGUUGCAAGUAUUUAGUCACUGGUUCUAUGGAAGUUAAAUUGUUCAGGUCACUCCGUAUUCAUAACUGUGUAUCUGGACGAGAUGGUUCUGGGUCCCUUUAUUAUUGUUGUUGAUGAAGUUGUGUAAAAAGCCCCUCAAUUCAAAGGGAGUAAAACCUCAGAAAUGUCAUCUACAGUGUGGAUGCCCUGUGGGUUUGUUAGGGCUGGAGAAUUUGGGACCUAGCUGAGCCUUGAUACAAAGCUGUCUCCUCUCACCUCUGCAGUUCACCUGUGCUGUGAAUUCUGGGGCACUCCAAAUCCCAUAGUGCCACAGAUCGCACAUUUUGGAGCACUAUAGAAUUCAUAGCACCCAACAAAACUGUAUUAUAGAGGAUGAGAUGGGGAAAGCCAGAGUAUCAGGGCCCAGUAGCAGGUGGACCUUGAAUUCCCCAUGAAGGUCAGAGGAAUGGAGAGGGUGGGGACAUCUGAACCCUUUCAAUCCACACUUAGAAUUCCCAACUCCAGCUGGACAGGAGCUCUGCAACUGGUCCUAAUGGUUGCCUUUCCCACAGUCUGCAGAAGCCUGAAACUGAAGGCCUGAUUCUCUACUGCCUUGCACUUACACCUGUACAAAGUGAAUGUAGAACACUGCCAUUUUCAUUUGGUAGCAUAUUAAAUUGACUUUGCGUUUAUUUUGCAGGUACACAUUGACUGCUUGAGGUGCAGGGCAGUGGAGAAGCAGUCCUUGUAUGUCCCCAAGUACCUUGCAAAGCAGCUUUUGGGUUGUGCAGCCCCAGAUUCCCUCAGACUGCAGGAGUAUGUGACCUCUAAUAGAAAUUGGUAACUGAAUUCAGCUGAAGUCUAAUACCUGAAUUUUGGGCAAAUAUCUGAGGCUCCUCACAGCUCUGAUCGGAGGAGUACACUGCUAACAAUUCCUCUAUUCAGAUACUUUUUCCCAAACCAGCCUCCAAGCCAUCUGCUUCUGCUCCCUCUCCAUUGUGUUUUUUUGUUCUAUCACAGAUCAGGAGCCCUACACUUUUCCUUUUAUCUCACCCCGGGGCUAGAAAAUGGAAAUUGUGAGAGAAAUAGGGGAGGGGAGUUCAUUUUCACCCAGGCUCAAAAACACUGAGGAGCAGAUCAUUGUUUAGCUUUUUAAGUAUUCACCACAAUUGUGUAUUUUUUUUAAAAGAUUCUGGAUCACAAAAGAGGAUCCUCCUUGCCCAGAGUCCAGGCUUAGGGUUCACUGGUGGAAGGCUGAUGUCCACAUUGACUCUCUUGUAAUGAAGUAAGUUUGCAAAUAAAGGUUAUGACUGGACCCCUCUCUCUCUGGUU